GCGCGGGUGGCGGAAUUGGCAGACGCGCCAGACUUAGGAUCUGGUGGAGCAAUCCUUAGGGGUUCGAGUCCCCUCCCGCGCACUA
rnacentral:tRNA from 2 species